rnacentral:rRNA from 1 species
GAUGAACGCUGGCGGCGUGCUUAACACAUGCAAGUCGAACGGAGAAAGGGUAGCUUGCUAUCUUUUCUUAGUGGCGGACGGGUGAGUAACGCGUGGGUAACCUGCCCUUUGCAGGGGGAUAACAGUGAGAAAUCACUGCUAAUACCGCAUACCAACUUCUUUCGCAUGAAAGAAGUUUGAAAGAUUUAUCGGCAAAGGAUGGACCCGCGUUGGAUUAGCUAGUUGGUGAGAUAACAGCCCACCAAGGCAACGAUCCAUAGCCGGCCUGAGAGGGUGAACGGCCACACUGGGACUGAGACACGGCCCAGACUCCUACGGGAGGCAGCAGUGGGGAAUAUUGCACAAUGGGCGAAAGCCUGAUGCAGCGACGCCGCGUGAAGGAUGAAGGUCUUCGGAUUGUAAACUUCUAUCAGCAGGGAAGAAAGGGCUUAUAGCCUAUGACGGUACCUGACUAAGAAGCCCCGGCUAACUACGUG